GCCACCCCGAGCUCCGCAGAUGGGAGGCAGGCUCGUGCAGGAAGGGGCAUUGCAGCAAACACCAGCACAGCGCCCUACCUCCGCACUGACCGGAAGACACAGCCUGCAGAGCCCAGUUUCCGAGAUAGUAAACGGUAGAAAAGUGUACAUCCUGGAAUUGAUGAGACAUAGAACUACGACACCCAGUAUACAGGGCCGCAGCGUGGGGGCCGUGCGGGACGCGCCCCGUAGGUGGCACGUGCCCUGGUCAUCCCCGGGGUGGUGCGUGGCUGGCCCGGGUGUGCAGCCAGAGCCGGCCUCCCAGCCUCUCUGAGCCUUCUGGGGAUUUCUCCCAUCUCACACGCCGCGUGUAGAGCCGUUGGGUCGGCCCACCCUGCGGGAAAACACCGAAUCUGAAGUACGAAGCGAGAUCCGUGCUCGGUCUUGCUCUGCGACCACUCUGGAAAACCGCGUGGGAAAGGAUCUUCUCAGCCAGUUAAUCACAUCUCUACAGUAUUGCUCAGGGGCCCUAAACAGUUAAAAGUUGGUGGGAGGGAGUGGGUAAGAAUACCAAACAAAAGGGUGCCUGGGUAGCUCAGGUCAGGAUCCCAGGGUCCUGGGUUGGAGCCCCCCUCCCGGUGGGGCUCCCUGCUCAGCGGGGAGCCUGCUUCUCACUCUGUCUGCCGCUCCCCCUGCUUGUGCUCACUCUCACACACAAAUAAAUAAAUAAAAUCUUUUUAAAAAAAGAUAUUA
rnacentral:lncRNA from 1 species